GAUCAUGGCUCAGGAUGAACGCUAGCUACAGGCUUAACACAUGCAAGUCGAGGGGCAGCAUUUUUCUAGCAAUAGAAGAGAUGGCGACCGGCGCACGGGUGAGUAACACGUAUCCAACCUACCGAUAACUCUGGAAUAGCCUUUCGAAAGAAAGAUUAAAUACCGGAUAGUAUACGAAUAUCGCAUGAUAUUUUUAUUAAAGAAUUUCGGUUAUCGAUGGGGAUGCGUUCCAUUAGUUUGUUGGG
rnacentral:rRNA from 1 species